AAAGGCUUGCUGAUAGCGUUCACAGUGACAGCCCGAAAGUAUGAUUCUAAGGGCCAUGGGUCUGGAUUUCCAGGAAAGCGGAGACCUCGAGGUGCAGGACUGUCGGGGCGAGGUGGCCGAGGCAGGUCAAAGCUGAAAAGUGGAAUCGGAGCUGUUGUAUUGCCUGGGGUGUCUACUGCAGAUAUUUCAUCAAAUAAGGAUGAUGAAGAAAACUCUGUGCUCGAUAUGGUUGUGUUGUUUUCUAGCAGUGACAAAUUCACUUUGAAUCAGGAUACAUGUGUAGUUUGUGGCAGUUUUGGCCAAGGAGCAGAAGGAAGAUUACUUGCCUGUUCUCAGUGUGGUCAGUGUUACCAUACAUACUGUGUCAGUAUUAAGGU